GACGAACGCUGGCGGCGUGCUUAACACAUGCAAGUCGAACGGAAAGGCCCCCUUGUGGGGUACUCGAGUGGCGAACGGGUGAGUAACACGUGAGUAACCUGCCCUUGACUUUGGGAUAACUUCAGGAAACUGGGGCUAAUACCGGAUAGGAGCUCCUGCUGCAUGGUGGGGGUUGGAAAGUUUCGGCGGUUGGGGAUGGACUCGCGGCUUAUCAGCUUGUUGGUGGGGUAGUGGCUCACCAAGGCUUUGACGGGUAGCCGGCCUGAGAGGGUGACCGGCCACAUUGGGACUGAGAUACGGCCCAGACUCCUACGGGAGGCAGCAGUGGGGAAUAUUGCACAAUGGGCGGAAGCCUGAUGCAGCAACGCCGCGUGCGGGAUGACGGCCUUCGGGUUGUAAACCGCUUUCGCCUGUGACGAAGCGUGAGUGACGGUAAUGGGUAAAGAAGCACCGGCUAACUACGUG
rnacentral:rRNA from 1 species